UGAUUGCGCUACUACAAUGACAUCUUGUGAAUCAGGUCAGGAUGGGAACAUAGCAGCCUUAAGCAGGCGCUGUCAUGUGUAGUAGUUCUUUUUUUUGC
rnacentral:SRP_RNA from 1 species